rnacentral:rRNA from 1 species
AACGAACGCUGGCGGCAUGCCUAACACAUGCAAGUCGAACGAGACCUUCGGGUCUAGUGGCGCACGGGUGCGUAACGCGUGGGAACCUGCCCUUAGGUUCGGAAUAACUCCCCGAAAGGGGUGCUAAUACAGGAUAAUGUCUUCGGACCAAAGAUUUAUCGCCUUUGGAUGGGCCCGCGUUGGAUUAGCUAGUUGGUAGGGUAAAAGCCUACCAAGGCGACGAUCCAUAGCUGGUCUGAGAGGAUGAUCAGCCACACUGGGACUGAGACACGGCCCAGACUCCUACGGGAGGAAGCAGUGGGGAAUAUUGGACAAUGGGCGAAAGCCUGAUCCAGCAAUGCCGCGUGAGUGAUGAAGGCCUUAGGGUUGUAAAGCUCUUUUACCCGGGAUGAUAAUGACAGUACCGGGAGAAUAAGCUCCGGCUAACUCCGUG